rnacentral:lncRNA from 1 species
AUUUUUUUGAAUGAACAAUGAAUACUUCAUAAACAUGCAAUCUACCUUUUGGUAUAAGAACUCUAAAAAGAUAACACAUUUAAUUAAAUACACUAGAACUUCAAAGAACUGCUAGGUAUCAACAUACUCUUCAAGGGAUCCAGGGGGAAACAACCAAUUACACAUUCAAAUAAACAUACCCAUAGCAGACUAGAGCUUAUUAGUGUUCACACUUUAAUCAAUUCAACAAACAUUUUUGACCCUCCUGCUAUAUGUCAGGCAGUAGAACUAUGUUCAAUGGAGAAUACAAAGAUUGAUAAAAUAGCCUUUAUCUUAAAAGAAUUUGUCAUCUAAUAAAUAAGAUAAAACAUGUACACAAAUAACUCAAGCUCUAAAUAUCAUGAAAGAGUAUAACCAAGUAUUCAGAGAGUUCAAAUUACUUUUAGACCCUUAAAAAUCCUCAGGGAGGAGAUGAUAUUUGACUAAAUAUUUGACUAAAAGAUGGGCAGGAUAUGUCCAAGAAAGCUUACAAAACUCUUAUUUUGGCCCUAUUUAUUUAUUUGCUAUUGGGAAUUGAAAUAAGGAAUGCUCUUCCACUGAGCUACAUGUACCAGCCCUU